GUGGGGAAUCUUGCGCAAUGGGCGAAAGCCUGACGCAGCCAUGCCGCGUGAAUGAUGAAGGUCUUAGGAUUGUAAAAUUCUUUCACCGGGGACGAUAAUGACGGUACCCACAGAAGAAGCCCCGGCUAACUUCGUGCCAGCAGCCGCGGUAAUACGGAGGGUGCGAGCGUUGUCCGGAUUUAUUGGGUUUAAAGGGUGCGUAGGCUGGAAGGUCAGUCAGCGGUGAAAAGCUGUCGCUUAACGAUAGUCUUGCCGCAGAUACUUCCUUUCUUGGAUGCGGAGGAGGCGACUGGAACGGAUGGUGUAGCGGUGAAAUGCAUAGAUAUCAUCCAGAGCACCGAUUGCGAAGGCAGGUGGCUGUACCUUAAUCGACGCUGAUGCACGAAAGCAUGGGGAGCAAACAGGAUUAGAAACCCCGGUAGUCC
rnacentral:rRNA from 1 species